rnacentral:rRNA from 1 species
UGGGGAAUAUUGCACAAUGGGGGAAACCCUGAUGCAGCCAUGCCGCGUGUGUGAAGAAGGCCUUCGGGUUGUAAAGCACUUUCAGCGAGGAGGAAGGUAUUUGCGUUAAUAGCGCGGAUAAUUGACGUUACUCGCAGAAGAAGCACCGGCUAACUCCGUGCCAGCAGCCGCGGUAAUACGGAGGGUGCGAGCGUUAAUCGGAAUUACUGGGCGUAAAGCGUACGCAGGCGGUUUGUUAAGUCAGAUGUGAAAUCCCCGAGCUUAACUCGGGAACUGCAUUUGAAACUGGCAAGCUAGAGUCUCGUAGAGGGGGGUAGAAUUCCAGGUGUAGCGGUGAAAUGCGUAGAGAUCUGGAGGAAUACCGGUGGCGAAGGCGGCCCCCUGGACGAAGACUGACGCUCAGGUACGAAAGCGUGGGGAGCAAACA